rnacentral:rRNA from 1 species
AGCAUAUCAAUAAGCGGAGGAAAAGAAACCAACAGGGAUUGCCUCAGUAACGGCGAGUGAAGCGGCAACAGCUCAAAUUUGAAAUCUGGCGCCCUCGGCGUCCGAGUUGUAAUUUGUAGAGGAUGCUUCGGCAAGGGCUCCCGUCUAAGUCCCCUGGAACGGGGCGUCGCAGAGGGUGAGAAUCCCGUAUGUGAUGGGCUGCCCGAGCCAUGUGAAGCUCCUUCGACGAGUCGAGUUGUUUGGGAAUGCAGCUCUAAAUGGGAGGUAAAUUUCUUCUAAAGCUAAAUACCGGCCAGAGACCGAUAGCGCACAAGUAGAGUGAUCGAAAGAUGAAAAGCACUUUGGAAAGAGAGUUAAAAAGUACGUGAAAUUGUUGAAAGGGAAGCGCUUGCAACCAGACUCGCGCGCAGUUGCUCAGCCGGUCUCCUGACCGGUGUACUCUUCUGCGUCCGGGCCAGCAUCAGUUCGGGCGGCCGGAUAAAGGCCUCGGGAAUGUGGCUCCCCUCGGGGAGUGUUAUAGCCCGGGGUGCAAUGCGGCCAGCCCGGACUGAGGAACUCGCUUCGGCUAGGAUGCUGGCGUAAUGGUUGUAAGCGGCCCGUCUUGAAACACGGACCAAGGAGUCUAACAUCUAUGCGAGUGUUUGGGUGUCAAACCCAUGCGCGUAAUGAAAGUGAACGGAGGUGGGAACCCUCACGGGUGCACCAUCGACCGAUCCUGAUGUCUUCGGAUGGAUUUGAGUAAGAGCAUAGCUGUUGGGACCCGAAAGAUGGUGAACUAUGCCUGAAUAGGGUGAAGCCAGAGGAAACUCUGGUGGAGGCUCGCAGCGGUUCUGACGUGCAAAUCGAUCGUCAAAUUUGGGUAUAGGGGCGAAAGACUAAUCGAACCAUC